GGCCUGUAGCUAAUGAGAUUAUAGGUCUGACCUGCCCGGUGGGGAUUUAAACGGCCGCAGUAUCUUGACUGUGCUAAGGUAGCGUAAUCACUUGCCUCUUAAUUGGUGGCUAGUAUGAAUGGUUGGUCAAGAGUUAUGCUGUCUCUAUUAAAUUAGGUGGAAAUUACUUUUAGGUGCAGAAGCCUGAAUAUUAAAGAAAGACAAGAAGACCCUAGUGUGCUUUAGUUUUUUUCGGCUUGAGUUAAUACGGUUGGGAAAACUUUUGUUGGGGCAACACCGGAAUGAAGGAGCUUCACGGUAUUUACAUUGUAUAUGUUUUAGUGUAAUUGACGAGACGCGAUACGGACGCAGCGCUUGAAAGUAGAUUAGUAACAUUAAAGUGAUAAAAGUAACCAUAGGGGUAACAGACUAAUUUCCCUCGAGAGUACACAUUACAGGGAAGAUUGGCACCUCGAUGUUGGCUUAGGGAAGCAGUUAAGAAGUAGAAGUCUAACUUGCAGGCUUGNUCAGCCUUUAAAUCCC
rnacentral:rRNA from 1 species